UUCUGUGAAGAGAGCAAACUACUCUCUGAUAGUCCCAUCUAUCAAUGGAGAACAAAAUGAUUGAUAGAAGAAAGAUUAGCUAGUUUUUAUGAAAAUGCGUUAGAACUUGGUUAGUAAAAAACUAGUUACUAAAAGCAGUGUGAUGAAAGUAGAUAGGAAAAGCAGGGCAGGGGAAGGUAGAGUUAAAAACUAAGUAGAUACAUAGGAGAGUUACAUCUGGGAUGUGGCUGGUUGCCUGCAAUAGACUCAAGUCAAGACAGUGUGGUUUGGAAAAGAAAAUUGUUAUAUUUCGGAGGACCAAUGAGCAGAGUGAAAGCCUCAGUUAGUCAUGGACUAAAGGAAUGAAGAAGAGGGAAUACUUGAGUUUUAAUUCUAGUCAAACCAGGAAAGAAUUACUACUGAAUGCUAAACAAAGACACAGUGGGGUCACAAGUGUAAAAGUUCUUCAUCCAGUCAUGAAGUUUGAAGAUGGAUGGGAAACCAUAGACUGAGUAAUUCUUCAGCCAAGAUAUCUUCAACCAUAUUACAGUGGACAAGCUUUAAUCUCAACUUUGCAAAACGGAUGAAUGUUUUACACAAAAAUGGAGAUCAUUCUGAUAAUGCAAGCAUAAGCAAUCAGCAAAAAUGACAGUGAUGUCACAAAUUUAAUAAUAAACCAUUGAUCAUCAACAUAAUGAGGUCAGACAAUUAUAUUCUGAUCAUCCUGUAAGUUGCCAAAAACAAAUUAUUAAGAGGACAUUUGGUGUUUACAAAAAAUACCCACUAUUGUUAGUGAUAUAAAUUUGUAAUCU